GAACCAAAUUAAUUUAAGCUAGCAUGACAACUAAAUUAUCUCUACCACAAAUACAAGACAACAUUGAGACAAAAUAAAAUAAAAUACUAAACACCAACACUAUUAUAAACCACUAACCAACAAAGUUAAAUUAAGUUAAAUGCAACACUAACUCAAACACAUGAAGACAACUCAACCUACUAAUUAAACUAAGUGAAAACAAGAGAAAUUAACAAGCCUAUUUUACUUCUAGUAAAUUAAGUGACCCAAUAUGAAAUUAACAAAUAAAUUAAAAGUCCAAAUGGCCUAAGGAAACCUUUUGGCCUUGAGUCAUGUUUCAACAAGUCAAACUUCAAUUUCCACCUUCAAUAAGCCACCAAAAUGUGUUGACUUCUUGUCCCAUGUGCACCAUUCUUCAAGGAAAUAAGCAUGUGCCUUAAACACACAAUAAAACCAUGUUUUCCUCCCUUCCCAUGCAGCAAAAACGUGAUUGUAUACACCAAGGCACAAAAAACGUGAACUACCAAGUGGAAAUGCCAAAAAAUG
rnacentral:lncRNA from 1 species